CCUACGGGGAGCAGCAGUGAGGAAUAUUGGUCAAUGGGCGUAAGCCUGAACCAGCCAAGUCGCGUGAGGGAUGAAGGUUCUAUGGAUCGUAAACCUCUUUUAUAAGGGAAUAAAGUGUGGGACGUGUCCUGUUUUGUAUGUACCUUAUGAAUAAGGAUCGGCUAACUCCGUGCCAGCAGCCGCGGUAAUACGGAGGAUCCGAGCGUUAUCCGGAUUUAUUGGGUUUAAAGGGUGCGUAGGCGGCCUUUUAAGUCAGCGGUGAAAGUCUGUGGCUCAACCAUAGAAUUGCCGUUGAAACUGGGAGGCUUGAGUAUGGUUGAGGCAGGCGGAAUGCGUGGUGUAGCGGUGAAAUGCUUAGAUAUCACGCAGAACCCCGAUUGCGAAGGCAGCCUGCCAAGCCAUGACUGACGCUGAUGCACGAAAGCGUGGGGAUCAAACAGGAUUAGAUACCCCAGUAGUC
rnacentral:rRNA from 1 species